UACAGAGGUCCCAAGGCGUUGUUCGGAUUCACUGGGCGUAAAGGGUGCGUAGGUGGCCAGGUAAGUUCGGUGUGAAAGCUACGGAGGCUUAACUCCGAAAUGGCAUUGAAUACUAUCUGGCUAGAGGGUCGGAGGGGAGACUGGAAGUUCUCGGUGAUAGCAGUGAAAUGACGUAGAUAUCGAGAGGAACACCAGUGGCGAAGGCGAGUCUCUGGACGACUCCUGACACUGAGGCACGAAAGC
rnacentral:rRNA from 1 species